GAGUUUGAUCGUGGCUCAGGAUUAACGCUGGCGGCGUGCCUGACACAUGCAAGUCGAACGAGUUCUAGUUGCCCGCAAGGGUGACUAGCGCUAGUGGCGGACGGGUGAGUAACACGUGGGCAACCUGCCUGAGAGCGCGGAAUAACCCUGCGAAAGCAGAGCUAAUACCGCAUGUGGUUGUUGGUUGGCAUCUUCUAACAACUAAAGUCGCAAGACGCUCUCAGAUGGGCCCGCGGCCUAUUAGCUAGUUGGUGAGGUAACGGCCCACCAAGGCAUUGAUGGGUAGCUGGUCUGAGAGGACGGACAGCCACACUGGGACUGAGACACGGCCCAGACUCCUACGGGAGGCAGCAGUGAGGAAUUUUCCGCAAUGGGCGAAAGCCUGACGGAGCAACGCCGCGUGAGGGAUGAAGUCUCUAGGGAUGUAAACCUCUGUUGGGAGGGACGAAGAUCUGACGGUACCUCCUGAGGAAGCCCCGGCUAACUACGUGCCAGCCGCCGCAGUAAG
rnacentral:rRNA from 1 species